CUUGUUUCGAAUAAUUGGUUCCCUUUCAAAACACGAAAUUGAUGAAAAUGUUUUUGUAUACUGAAUAUUUAAUGUCUGUAGAGCCAGAGCAUCAUUAAUCAGCGAUAUUCUAAUCAACAAAGUACGAAAUCAAAUUAUGGAUCUUCCACACAAUGAAUAAAUAAAUGGUAGUCUGCAUGUAACUUUUUAGUCUCAGUUUCGAUCGACGCGUUACAUUCAGUUAUGCCAACUGGAUUUUUUACUUGAUCCGCUAUUAACAAUAGCACACUGCUGACAAAGCGAGAAAUAUGGAUAACUGUAAGGCGAAGAUUGUCUACAUAAUUUUUUGGGAAUUUACGUUAAUUGGACUGUUUGUCAUUGUUUGUGGUACGCCCCCAAAAGGAUAUACUCAACGACAAGGAGACUGCAUCGGUUAUGAUAUGAACAGAAUAUCAAAUACGGACCUUAGUCCCUGCAUCUCUUCUUGCAACAGGGAUAAGGCAUGCAUGGCUCUCGUGUACAAGAGUACAGGAAAAUACUGCAUUCUCAAGACUAAAGUAGGAUGCCGCCUGCGCCUCACACAUGACGAUAGGUAUCUGUACUUUGAUAAGACAGAUACCAUGACCUUUGGAAUAUACUACAAGCGGACGACGUCUACGCCAUCGCAUGGUAUAGUGAGACAAACAAUAACGCCAUCAGGGAGCGAAGAAGAGUGCGCAGUUUCCUGUUCGAAUUACGUACCUUGCAGUGCCUUCGGAUACGACAGCUCAACAUUGAAGUGCCGUCUAUUGGCUAUCAUCGAAAACAAUACACUUGACCUAUCGCAAUUUGGUGAGAGCGUCUUCUAUAUGAUGGAACUGUAAUGUCCUAGGCCGGUCGUGUUUACUGGUAUGUCAUGAUUUAACGAGGUGACAAGAUAAGAUGCACUUCUUGUAAAGUCUUCAGAUAGCUUGACAGAUUUAGUUCUUUUUAUUUCCUGCUGCCGUAUGGAGAGGUGUACUUGGUUCGUUCAUGUUCUUUUACAAGCGUUGUUUACUUGUACCAAAUGUGUCUCCGUGUUUUUGCUUUCUGUACAUUUGAUAGUAAUUGUAAUUGCUAUAAUGUUCAGCAUUUUUUCAUCUUACGUAUCCAAUACAUCCUUAUUAUACGAACUGUCAUUGCUGAGGGCAAAGUCAUAUAACGGUUUAAAUAGCAUUCCGCGAUGAUGAGGUCACUGCAGCUGCUGCCCUCUAUUUCCCCAUCGCUGAAUUACAGCAAUGUCGGACAAACAUGCGGUUUCGUAAUGGAUUCAGGCUUUCUAACUAGGGCAGUUAGAUUCAAUCUGGCACAUGUCCGAGUGUUGGAAAUACUACAUAAUUGUUCUGAAUAUUUCUCUUUCUGACUCUAUGGUAUCAUUCAUGCUAAAACAAUGCAGGGUCAAAGAUAAUUGACUUUGAAAUAAGCUCAAAUGCGUAGAAAUAAGUGUCGAUGUCCGACUGUCACGUGACUAAAACGUCAUCAAUAUCUUAUGCAAAUGACCUUGUGAGCUAUAAAUAGUAACUUCGCGGAAUGCUAUUCAAAUUUGAUCAAACGUCAAAAAGGAAUUGAAUUUCAUAACCAUGGUAUCGGUUAUGCUUGGCAGAACCGCCAUGAAUAUAUAUGACACAUAUCAACAUCCACAAUGAGAUUUUAAUUGGUCAUAUCGGAUAUUCAUCGAUGUAUGGAAGUGAAGUGAAUGAGAUCAAGUAUCAGCAAGAACUCGUAAACACCGCUAUCGCCAUCCGUUUGAGAAUCUAAAGGUCCAGGCGAUGUCAAGAUAUUCUGAUGGAAGCGGGAGAGGGAUUGGUUACUCGAUAUUUGCGGUUCGAUUGUGAAAAUGGUUCACUGGCCUGGCAACUUCUCAUCCCUCGAAGAGCAGAAACGGCCGGGGAGGGGGGAAGGGGGGGGGGGGUAGCAAGGCUACUGCACGUGUUGGUAUUGUUUGAUUGGUCCUGUCGGCAGCGGCGUGUCCAAUAUUUCCCUCGCACAUUAUUCUUAGUGUUGUACAUAGAUGUAUAAGGUAGACUUGACAACAGCCAAUAGGAACACCCUGUGCCAUCCAUAUCAGGCUCUGCUGCAUAACCAGCCAAGAGAUACCAAGGGAUAGAUUUGCAGUGAGGGAGAUUAGCCUAGGCUUUGGUCGAGACCGGAGCCAAGGAAACAAGGUGUAUUAAAGAAUAUAAAGGAUUAUACAUGUAUAUGUGUUGUUAUGUGUGUUGAACCUGGAGGCCGAAAGCCCACACGUGACAUGGCGACCUCCCUGGUACAAGUCAGUUCACUUUCCCUACUAAGGCUGUAUUGCUCCC